rnacentral:rRNA from 1 species
AUAUCUUUAAGAUUAGAAAUUAAAGUAAAGCCUGCUCCAUGAUUUAAAUAGCCGCAGUCAACUGUGCUAAGGUAGCAUAAUCAUUAGCCUUUUAAUUAAAGGAUAGAAUGAAAGGCUAAACGAAAAACAUCCUGUCUCAUUCGGACAAUUGAAAUUAUCAAAAGAGGUAAAAAGACCCUUGCUAUUUAAUAAGACGACAAGACCCUAAAAAACUUAAAUUUUGCUGGGGCGGCACUCAAAUAACACCUUAGAAAAACCUAUGAAAAACCUUAUCAUAUAAAAACAAGUUACUAUAGGGAUAACAGCGCAACCUCUCUCUAGAGUCCUAAUCUAAAAAGAGAACUACGACCUCGAUGUUGAAUUAGCUAAACACUUACAAAAUAUCGAAGCAAAAAUCUCAUUGUGUUGGUCUGUUCGACCAUUAAAAAGCU